CCCUUAGAUGUUCUGGGCUGCACGCGUGUUACAAUCGGGAGUACAAAAAGAUUGCAAAUCCUAGUGGAUGAGUGGUUCUUCGAAAUUUUCUGAAGACUGGGAUAGUUGAUUGAAAUUAUUCAACUCGAACGAGGAAUUCCUUGUAAUUGUAAUUCAUUAUAUUGUAAUGAAUACGUCCCUGCCCUUUGUACACACCGCCCGUCGCUCCUACCGAUUGAACGAUCCGGUGAAUUAUUUGGAGUAGCUCUGGAAGUUGCAGAACUUCCUAUGUCACGAAAUUUUGUAAACCUUAUCGUUUAGAGGAAGGAAAAGUCGUAACA
rnacentral:rRNA from 1 species